rnacentral:rRNA from 1 species
GACGAACGCUGGCGGCGUGCUUAACACAUGCAAGUCGAACGGAAAGGCCCCGUUGGGGGUACUCGAGCGGCGAACGGGGGAGUAACACGAGCGUAACCAUCCCUUGACUUUGGGAUAACUACAGGAAACGGGGGCUAAUACCGGUAAGGAAUAAUAUCUUCAUGGGGGGGGUUGGAAAGCGUCGGGGGUUUUGGCUGGACUGGCGGGAUAACAGCUUGCUGGUGGGGUAGUGGCUUACCAAGGCGGUGUCGGGUAGCCGGCCUGCGUGGGCGACCGGCCACACUGAGACUGAGAUACGGCCCAGACUGCUACGGGUGGGAGCAGGGGGGAAGAUUGCACAAUGGGCGGCAGCCUGAUGAAGCAAGGCCGCGUGCGGGAUGACGGCCUUCGGGUUGUAAACCGAAUUCAGCAGGGGCGAAGCUUGUGGUGACGGUACCUGCUGAAGAAGCACCGGCUAACUACGUG